UACGUGGGUGGCAAGCGUUGUCCGGAUUUACUGGGCGUAAAGAGCGCGCAGGCGGUCGUUCAAGUCGAGUGUGAAAGCCCCCGGCUCAACUGGGGAGGGUCAUUCGAUACUGAUCGACUCGAAGGCAGGAGAGGGAAGUGGAAUUCCCGGUGUAGUGGUGAAAUGCGUAGAUAUCGGGAGGAACACCAGUGGCGAAGGCGACUUCCUGGCCUGUUCUUGACGCUGAGGCGCGAAAGCUAGGGGAGCAAACGGG
rnacentral:rRNA from 1 species